rnacentral:lncRNA from 1 species
AUCAGGUUGUGUGUUACAGCCGUUUUAUCAGACUCCAGUGGCUUGUCUUAGUCUCCAGAGUUUCUCCCGGUGAUGAAAUUCUAAGAAAAUCCUGCGAUUCAUGACGUUUUCUCUGAAUUUUCCCUAAAACGUAAGUCGUGAUCUUUGAGGAGGAUUUCAGCCCUUAUGAGAGCCCCUGAGAGGAAAGCCGUGGGGAGUGGGGGUGACUUUGAAGAGGCUUAAGAGUCUCUCGAGCUGAGGAGGAUGAAGCGGAGAGAUGGCGAAACAGGAGAGACGCACGCCCAACAUUGAAUGAGUGAGUAUUGCUCGAUUAUAAUGACAGCGCUCACAUCUUCGGGCAAAUGCAACAACGCAACAACGUGAACACGAGAUACUGAGCAACUGGAAAAUUCAACCCACGAAGAAGACAUGCACCUCCUUAAAAACUUAUUGAUGCAGAUUGGAGAGGGGCAUUCACACCAAGCAUGAAUAAAGUGAUUUACAUGACUGAAUUACAUGUAAAGUCAGUGCAAAAAUGCAAAUCAUGCAGAUUAGAUGGCGCGAAUUGGGCAGUGCGAAUUCCCAUCAUGGAGGAAAGUGAGUGAGGAGGCCAGAUUAUCUGGUAAAUUGUGAAAAACUGUUGUCUAUCACUUGAUCCCGCUGGUUGAACUGGCAAUGAUCACUGCUGAAAUCAGCAUGAGCGGCUAUCCACAGCUUUUAAGCAGUCUGUUGACGCGCGAAUCACGCAAACGGACUCAAAUGAUUGUCGCGAUAUAUAUUACGCUCAGAUUCAGUCACCAUGGUUUCCUGUACAGAAGUGUUAAAGACUUAAUAGCUAACAGAAUAAAGGAAACUUAACCAACAUUAAUGUACUGAAAAAUAAAAACUUGUGAAACUUGACUGACAUGAUGGAUGUUAAAGUAAGUUUAAACAUAGCAAAGACAUGAAAUUUGACUGUCACAGUUGGUUUGAUGGACACACAAGGAUGAAGAUCUCUCUCUCUCUCAAGCCUCACGGUUUCCUCCGAGGUUUUUCAAUUUUGCCUUUCUUUGACCUGGAAACCACAGUUUGUAGCAGUUGAUUGCAUUUAUUCAUCUUCACCUUGCAUUUUGCAGAGAUGCAGCACAAAUAUGGAGGCUAUUUUUUUUUUAUUAAGUUUUCUUUGGCGUCUCCUUGUUUUGUAACACCAACUCUUAAGAAAGCUUUCUUGAAGUUAAACUUUGUACCUCUGCAAAUAAACUGACCUGACUUGAGAAAGAAAACUCUUUACCUUGGUUGUGUUUGUCAAGUGUCUCUUUAGUAAAGAAGAUGGAUUUUUCAGAUCCAGCCACAUGUCUAUCACAGUGCCAUUAGGGCCAAGGUUGAUUUCGGUGAAAUCCUGCAGCUAUAAAACAAAGUUUCUACAGCAGUAUAAACCUAUAAAAACUGUUUAAGAUACUGUAAAACCACAAAACUACAGUCAAACAUGUUCAUUUUCACAAGCAGAUGAUCACAUCGUAAUGUAAUCUGGACUCUCCUCGUGGAUCUCAUCACUUGCAGACUCCUCACUGAUAGAUAACAAACCAAACAUCCAUAUGCAUGUCGGCUCUGCUGUUUGCGUUCCCCUCCCUGGUUGUACGGCCUUUUCUUUGGUGGAUAACAACAGGAUGUGUUGACUCUGCAUGACGCUGAUCCAGAGCUGAAUCUGAGCUCUGGCUUCAGGCUUGGCAGCAGGACGAGCAGAAGGAGCCUGGAGGAGCAGGCUGCAGUCUAUUUUGAGUCUUUUUGUUUAACCCAAUUACAGUGUCGGUGUUGUGCUGACUGAACACGCUGCAGUCAGGUGAAAGUGAGUCCUUUGAAAAGUGGGACAGCAGAGUUACAGAGAUGGAGAUGUGAAGCACUGGAAACAAUGAAAGGUUGCUUUACGUUGAGACGAGGAGAGAAAUAGAUUUCAUACACAGAGCCAGAGAAAAUAAAAUGGUUAACAUGUAAUAACAGCUCGUGUUUUCCUCUCUGUGACCUUGGCAGAGAAUCAUCUAUGCCACCGCUUCAUUCCAGAGUUUAACAGGCUCAUAUAUUCUUCUCUGGAUGGCUUUUUCACAUCUUCAUCCAUCUCAAAAAUAAAUGUAAACCUAGAGAUAAGCUUCCAACGGGGCCCACAAGCCCGGCUGCUGCGACAAUGAGAGCAUAAAGCCGGUAAAUAAACGAAGAUACGGCAAAGCCACCUGAGGCCCUGCUGUCUGAAAUCAGCCCGUCUCAAUCGACAGUGUUUUUUUCGCUCUCUCUCUUUCUGCAGGUAAAUGAGGUAAUCAUGUGUGAGAUCCACAGGAGAGGCAGGAGAUAAAGACCCGGCUGCUUGUGGGAGGCUCAGCUCUGAAAAGAAUCCAUCCAUGAGCUGCUGUCUUUAACUGCACUGAUGCUCCUCUUCAUCGGCAUCCGCCCUCCAGACAUCCACCUGAGAGCCGAGGCAGAGCUGCCGACGGAGGGCUCAGGAUGUUUUUUUCUGUCAGUCUGACAACGUGGUAUCAUCUUCUGCCCCGAUUCCCCUCUCACAUCUCUGAUAGGAAUCACAGACUCAGGUGUACAUUUCAUCUCCUCCUCCUACGGCAGACUCCUACAGAACCUCCUCGCUCCUGUGAGGCUGAUUCUUCUAAUUCAAUCUCACGUGGUCUUAAUUCAAUCUCAGAGAGGAGGGAGGGAGGUCUGUGUAAUUAAGUGACAG